UGUGAGAUUUCUACCAAGGGAUCGAUAUAGAGUAAGGUUUUAGUGAAAUUGUUUUUGUAUUUGUAUUUGUAUACUAGGAUGUUAUGAGAUGAAAUUUAUGAAGCGUAGAAGGAAAGUUAACUAGCUACUGUAUAGUUUGCAACGAGCGGUUUUCAAUUCCCCUUGACCGACUAUAUAUAGGAAACGUAUAUAGUUAUCUUAUUAUACAUUUAUUUUUCACUUCAUCAAGAGACGGGAAAAGCACGCGAAAUAUCGUCAUUUUCUAAACCGUUUCCUGCUAAAAGUGAGCAGGAACAUGUGAAGUCGAAAAAAGCCAGCAAUCAAAAACAUUAUAUAUGUAUACAUUUCAAAGCC
rnacentral:sRNA from 2 species